rnacentral:pre_miRNA from 1 species
CGUUGAUAGUGUUGACAGAAGAUAGAGAGCACAGAUGAUGAGAUGCAAUUUGGAGCAGCUUGUAUGCAUCGUACUCCUUUGUGCUCUCUAGUCUUCUGUCAUCACUCGUUACUUG